rnacentral:rRNA from 1 species
CUCUCUGUGACUCCUACGGGAGGCAGCAGUGGGGAAUAUUGCACAAUGGGCGCAAGCCUGAUGCAGCCAUGCCGCGUGUAUGAAGAAGGCCUUCGGGUUGUAAAGUACUUUCAGCAGUGAGGAAGGCAGGUACGUUAAUAGCGUGCUUGUUUGACGUUAGCUGCAGAAGAAGCACCGGCUAACUCCGUGCCAGCAGCCGCGGUAAUACGGAGGGUGCGAGCGUUUAAUCGGAAUUUACUGGGCGUAAAGCGCAUGCAGGUGGUUUGUUAAGUCAGAUGUGAAAGCCCGGGGCUCAACCUCGGAAUUGCAUUUGAAACUGGCAGACUAGAGUACUGUAGAGGGGGUAGAAUUUCAGGUGUAGCGGUGAAAUGCGUAGAGAUCUGAAGGAAUACCGGUGGCGAAGGCGGCCCCCUGGACAGAUACUGACACUCAGAUGCGAAAGCGUGGGGAGCAAACAGGAUUAGAUACCCUGGUAG